AUUGAACGCUGGCGGCAGGCCUAACACAUGCAAGUCGAACGAGUGGCGGACGGGUGAGUAAUGUCUGGGAAACUGCCCGAUGGAGGGGGAUAACUACUGGAAACGGUAGCUAAUACCGCAUACCAUCGGAUGUGCCCAGAUGGGAUGAGCUAGUAGGUGGGGUAACGGCUCACCUAGGCGACGAGCCCUAGCUGGUCUGAGAGGAUGACCAGCCACACUGGAACUGAGACACGGUCCAGACUCCUACGGUAGGCAGCAGUGGGGAAUAUUCAACAAUGGGCGAAAGCCUGAUGCAGCCAUGCCGCGUGUAUGAAGAAGGCCUUCGGGUUGUAAAGUACUUUCAGCGAGGAGGCGUUACUCGCAGAAGAAGCACCGGCUAACUCCGUGCCAGCAGCCGCGGUAAUUC
rnacentral:rRNA from 1 species